AUAGAGAGUCGUACACCUCUGUGACUCAGCUCGACGACAUGCCUCGCCGCGACCAGGUAUGUAGUCUAACCUUGUUUAAUAGGCUACGAGUAGUUGCAA